GGUGAGGUAAGGUAAAAAUUAAGAAAUUAAGAAAUUAAAAUUGAUACUAUAAGCUGGUAGAGCAUCAAUUAAGGAUAAAGAUAAGCUAAAAAUAUUAAUAGGUCAUGGAGCUCCUUUUAUUCACAAUAUACUAAAAACCGGAGUGACAAAAAUUGGGAGAAAUUUAGAAAACAAAGAAAUUUGGUAACAAAGAUAAAGAGAAAAUCAAUAAAAGUAAACUUUUUAGAACGUUGCUCUGGUGGAUCAAAAUCUUGCGAUUUUUGGAAAACAGUCAAACCAUUUUUUCUCAAAAAAGGGGAACUGUGGAGAGCAAAAAAUUUUAUUAUGUGAAAAUGACAAAAUUGUUAAUUGUUCAAAUGAAGUUUCAAAUGUUUUUAAUAAUUUUUUCUCCACAGUAGCAGACAAAAUUGGAGCAGAUGUUGUAUAUGACCCCUAAAAUAACCCGAGUAUAAAAGAAAUUUUGGAUAACAGAAACCAUAAUUCAGAUUUUGAAUUUAAAAAAGUAUCAAAUGAUAAUGUCGAAAAAAAAUUUAAUAAAAUAAACAUAAAGAAGGCUACAGGAGCUGAUGGUUUUCCAGCAAAACUAGUUAAAAAUUGUAAAUCUUAUAUUGCACCACAGAUGACAACUCUUGUAAAUUUGUCAAUUCACAAUAAAUGUUUCCCCGAUUAACUUAAAGAAGCCCAAG
rnacentral:lncRNA from 1 species